AAUGGAAGUAAUUAGGUUAGAGC
rnacentral:piRNA from 1 species